rnacentral:tRNA from 8 species
GCCCCGGUAGUAUAGCCCGGACUAGUAUGCGGGCCUGUCGAGCCCGUGACCCGGGUUCAAAUCCCGGCCGGGGCGCCA